rnacentral:rRNA from 1 species
CAGUAGCCGCGGUAAUACGGAGGGAGCUAGCGUUACUCGGAAUUACUGGGCGUAAAGCGCACGUAGGCGGCUUUGUAAGUUAGAGGUGAAAGCCUGGAGCUCAACUCCAGAAUUGCCUUUAAGACUGCAUCGCUUGAAUCCAGGAGAGGUGAGUGGAAUUCCGAGUGUAGAGGUGAAAUUCGUAGAUAUUCGGAAGAACACCAGUGGCAAAGGCGGCUCACUGGACUGGUAUUGACGCUGAGGUGCGAAAGCGUGGGGAGCAAACAGGAUUAGAUACCCCUGUAGUCCCUGUCUCUUAUAC